rnacentral:rRNA from 1 species
GAUGAACGCUGGCGGCGUGCCUAAUACAUGCAAGUCGAGCGAACAGACGAGGAGCUUGCUCCUCUGACGUCGCGGCGGACGGGUGAGUAACACGUGGAUAACCUACCUAUAAGACUGGGAUAACUUCGGGAAACCGGAGCUAAUACCGGAUAAUAUAUUGAACCGCAUGGUUCAAUAGUGAAAGACGGUUUUGCUGUCACUUAUAGAUGGAUCCGCGCCGCAUUAGCUAGUUGGUAAGGUAACGGCUUACCAAGGCGACGAUGCGUAGCCGACCUGAGAGGGUGAUCGGCCACACUGGAACUGAGACACGGUCCAGACUCCUACGGGAGGCAGCAGUAGGGAAUCUUCCGCAAUGGGCGAAAGCCUGACGGAGCAACGCCGCGUGAGUGAUGAAGGUCUUCGGAUCGUAAAACUCUGUUAUUAGGGAAGAACAAAUGUGUAAGUAACUAUGCACGUCUUGACGGUACCUAAUCAGAAAGCCACGGCUAACUACGUG